rnacentral:rRNA from 1 species
CCCGCUGAACUUAAGCAUAUCAAUAAGCGGAGGAAAAGAAACUAACAAGGAUUCCCCUGGUAACUGCGAGUGAAGCGGGAAAAGCUCAAAUUUAAAAUCUGGGGGUCCCUGUGGCCCUCCGAGUUGUAAUCUAGAGAAGUGCUAUCCGCGCUGGACCGUGUACAAGUCUCCUGGAACGGAGCGUCAUAGAGGGUGAGAAUCCCGUCUUUGACACGGACUACCAGGGCUUAUGUGAUGUGCUCUCAAAGAGUCGAGUUGUUUGGGAAUGCAGCUCUAAAUGGGUGGUAAAUUCCAUCUAAAGCUAAAUAUUGGCGAGAGACCGAUAGCGAACAAGUACCGUGAGGGAAAGAUGAAAAGAACUUUGGAAAGAGAGUUAAACAGUACGUGAAAUUGUUGAAAGGGAAACGCUUGAAGUCAGUCGCGUUGCCCAGAAAUCAACCUUGCUUUUGCUUGGUGUACUUUCUGGUUAACGGGUCAGCAUCAAUUUUGACCGGUGGAUAAAGGUCAGGGGAAUGUGGCAUCUUCGGAUGUGUUAUAGCCCUUAGUUGCAUACAUCGAUUGGGAUUGAGGAACUCAGCGCGCCUUUAUGGUCGAGGCUUUUGCCUACGCAACGCGCUUAGGAUGCUGGCAUAAUGGCUUUAAGCGACCCGUCUUGAAACACGG